GAUGAACGCUGGCGGCGUGCCUAAUACAUGCAAGUCGAGCGAACAGAUAAGGAGCUUUCUCCUUUGACGUUAGCGGCGGACGGGUGAGUAACACGUGGGUAACCUUCCUAUAAUACUUGAAUAACUCCGUGAAACCGGUGCUACUGCCGGAUAACAUUUAGAACCGCAUGGUUCUAAAGUGAAUGAUGGUUUUGCUAUCACUUAUAGAUGGACCCGCGCCGUAUUAGCUAGUUGGUAAGGUAACGGCUUACCAAGGCAACGAUACGUAGCUGACCUGAGAGGGUGAUCGGCCACACUGGAACUGAGACACGGUCCAGACUCCUACGGGAGGCAGCAGUAGGGAAUAUUGCGCAAUGGGCGAAAGCCUGACGGAGCAACGCCGCGUGAGUGAAGAAGGUCUUCGGAUCGUAAAACUCUGUUAUUAGGGAAGAAAAAAUGUGUAAGUAAAUGUGCACGUCUUGACGGUACCUAAAGAGAAAGCAACGGCUAACUACGUG
rnacentral:rRNA from 1 species